CCCUGGCUAGCUCAGUUGGUAGAGCGCUCCAUGGGAAAUAGAGUGGUCUCGGGUUCGAUAAUCGGACCAGGCG
rnacentral:tRNA from 1 species